rnacentral:rRNA from 1 species
UGGCGGCGUGCCUAAUACAUGCAAGUCGAACGAACUUCCGUUAAUUGAUUAUGACGUACUUGUACUGAUUGAGAUUUUAACACGAAGUGAGUGGCGAACGGGUGAGUAACACGUGGGUAACCUGCCCAGAAGUAGGGGAUAACACCUGGAAACAGAUGCUAAUACCGUAUAACAGAGAAAACCGCAUGGUUUUCUUUUAAAAGAUGGCUCUGCUAUCACUUCUGGAUGGACCCGCGGCGUAUUAGCUAGUUGGUGAGGUAAAGGCUCACCAAGGCAGUGAUACGUAGCCGACCUGAGAGGGUAAUCGGCCACAUUGGGACUGAGACACGGCCCAGACUCCUACGGGAGGCAGCAGUAGGGAAUCUUCCACAAUGGACGCAAGUCUGAUGGAGCAACGCCGCGUGAGUGAAGAAGGGUUUCGGCUCGUAAAGCUCUGUUGUUAAAGAAGAACGUGGGUAAGAGUAACUGUUUACCCAGUGACGGUAUUUAACCAGAAAGCCACGGCUAACUACGUGCCAGCAGCCGCGGUAAUACGUAGGUGGCAAGCGUUAUCCGGAUUUAUUGGGCGUAAAGCGAGCGCAGGCGGUCUUUUAAGUCUAAUGUGAAAGCCUUCGGCUCAACCGAAGAAGUGCAUUGGAAACUGGGAGACUUGAGUGCAGAAGAGGACAGUGGAACUCCAUGUGUAGCGGUGAAAUG